UACGAAGGGAGCUAGCGUUGUUCGGAAUCACUGGGCGUAAAGCGCACGUAGGCGGAUGUGUCAGUCAGGGGUGAAAUCCCGGAGCUCAACUUCGGAACUGCCCUUGAUACAGCACGUCUUGAGUCCGGAAGAGGUGGGUGGAAUUCCUAGUGUAGAGGUGAAAUUCGUAGAUAUUAGGAAAGAACACCGGUGGCGAAGGCGGCCCACUGGUCCGGUACUGACGCUGAGACGCGAAAGCGUGGGGAGCGAACAG
rnacentral:rRNA from 1 species